GUGGGGAAUCUUAGACAAUGGGGGAAACCCUGAUCUAGCCAUGCCGCGUGAGCGAUGAAGGCCUUAGGGUUGUAAAGCUCUUUCAGAUGGGAAGAUAAUGACGGUACCAUCAGAAGAAGCCCCGGCUAACUCCGUGCCAGCAGCCGCGGUAAUACGGAGGGGGCUAGCGUUGUUCGGAAUUACUGGGCGUAAAGCGCGCGUAGGCGGACCAGAAAGUUGGAGGUGAAAUCCCAGGGCUCAACCUUGGAACUGCCUUCAAAACUCCUGGUCUGGAGUUCGAGAGAGGUGAGUGGAAUUCCGAGUGUAGAGGUGAAAUUCGUAGAUAUUCGGAGGAACACCAGUGGCGAAGGCGGCUCACUGGCUCGAUACUGACGCUGAGGUGCGAAAGCGUGGGGAGCAAACAGGAUUAGAAACCCCGGUAGUCC
rnacentral:rRNA from 1 species